UACGUAUGUGGCGAGCGUUACUCGGAAUCACUGGGCGUAAAGAGUACGUAGGCGGAUUAAUAAGCCAGGGGUGAAAUUUCGGAGCUCAACUUCGAACCUGCCUUUGGAACUGUUAAUCUUGAGUAUGUGAGGGGAAGAUGGAAUUCCUGGUGUAGCGGUGGAAUGCGUAGAUAUCAGGAAGAACACCGGCGGCGAAGGCGGUCUUCUGGCACAAUACUGACGCUGAGGUGCGAAAGUGUGGGGAGCAAACAGG
rnacentral:rRNA from 1 species